AUGGAGGGCAAGGAGGAGGACGUGCGGCUCGGGGCGAACAAGUACUCGGAGCGGCAGCCCAUCGGCACGGCGGCGCAGGGGUCCGAGGACAAGGACUACAAGGAGCCCCCGCCGGCGCCGCUGUUCGAGCCCGGCGAGCUCAAGUCCUGGUCCUUCUACCGCGCCGGCAUCGCCGAGUUCAUGGCCACCUUCCUCUUCCUCUACGUCACCAUCCUCACCGUGAUGGGCUACAGCGGCGCCACCUCCAAGUGCGCCAGCGUCGGCAUCCAGGGCAUCGCCUGGUCCUUCGGCGGCAUGAUCUUCGCCCUCGUCUACUGCACCGCCGGCAUCUCCGGCGGGCACAUCAACCCGGCGGUGACCUUCGGGCUGUUCCUGGCGAGGAAGCUGUCGCUGACCCGGGCGGUGUUCUACAUCAUCAUGCAGUGCCUGGGCGCCAUCUGCGGCGCCGGCGUGGUGAAGGGGUUCCAGCAGGGCCUGUACAUGGGCAACGGCGGCGGCGCCAACGUGGUGGCGCCCGGCUACACCAAGGGCUCCGGCCUCGGCGCCGAGAUCAUCGGCACCUUCGUCCUCGUCUACACCGUCUUCUCCGCCACCGACGCCAAGAGGAACGCCAGGGACUCCCACGUUCCCGUGAGUGCCUACCAUCACCGCCGCUCUGUUCUUCCCCCUGUUGAAUUUCCUUACCGUGCUUACUUAAAACUUAAUGGUGUGUGCAACGUCGACAGAUCCUCGCCCCGCUGCCCAUCGGGUUCGCCGUGUUCCUGGUGCACCUGGCCACCAUCCCCAUCACCGGCACCGGCAUCAACCCGGCGAGGAGCCUCGGCGCGGCCAUCAUCUACAACAGGGAGCACGCCUGGUCAGACCACGUGA
rnacentral:rRNA from 1 species